AACGCACAUUGCGCCUCCUGGUAUUCCGGGAGGCAUGCCUGUUCGAGCGUCAUUAAAGACCACUCAAGCGAUUUUGCUUGGUAUUGGAAGAAGAGUGCCUCUGGCCCUCCCUUCCGAAAUCCAAUGGCGGAAAGUCUCACGUGCCCCGGCGUAGUAAGUUUAUCUUUCGCUUGGACCCUGAGGCGUUCUCGCCCUCAAAUCCCCAAUACUAUAGGUUGACCUCGGAUCAGGUAGGGAUACCCGCUGAACUUAA
rnacentral:misc_RNA from 1 species